AGCGAAAGUUGCUUAUGUCAUUAAAUCCUAGCUAGGAAGCAGGGAGUGGUUCCUGGAUGGUCAAGGGUGAGAGGCAAGCUUCGGGACAAACGAAGCCUACAAUUCACAAGGAUUUAGUGGUGGAACGGGUCUGUCUCUACUUGCCAAUUCGAAGACGAACCCUGGGAAGUUUUCUGCUUUUUUUUCUUCCUUUUUCUUUUAAGACCAUAUCAUUUAUUAAAGUGCACACUCUGGCUGGGGUGGGGAAAGGAGUAGAGGAGAGGAGAAGAUCACUAAAUCCCAAACUAGUGGAAAUAGCAGUGGGCAAAGGCAAAACCGGUUCUCAAAAAGCGGGAACUCUAGGUUCUGGGCACUCACAAUUUGGCUCUGGAACCACAUUUCCCCCUUGGCAGUUCAACAAACCAAGCGGCUAGUAUAUGUUCAGAAGAGUCCAAGGUAUCCGACUGCAGAGAAUUGGAAGGAUAAUGGAUCUGGAGUGAAAAUAACAGUAAGAU